GAUGAAGACUCAGCAGGAGAAGGCACAUCACAAGCUCCAGACAGGGAUAAAUAUAGAGGGCUACUCGAGGAAACUCCCUGCACUUUAAAUGGUAUGACUAACCAACAACAUGUCUAGUGGUAUCUAUUACAUGUUUAACCUAUCACUGCUUGUGCAUUUUAUGUUCACUUAUCUCUUUACACAGAUGGAGAUUCGGCAAGAGAAUGCACAUCGCAAGGGAGGGAGAAAACCAGGGAUCCUCUUCAGGAACAUCUUGGAUCCUCAAAUGGUGUGACCAGCAUGCCUAGUGAUGAUUAUUACAGGAACACAGAACUAAAUGUAGUGUAAUAUUUUGAGAUAGCUCACAUACACAUAGUUAAG